GUUGCAUUUAAGGGAACAGAAUGUGAAUCUGCAGACUGCCAGCCCAGCAUGCGGCUAUUUCCAUCUCCAAAAGUGUAGCUACACUGCCUUGGAUCACGGUUGCUGUGAUGAGUGGUACGCAGAAUGGAGAGUACAUGGCGUGGGACACUGCUGAAGCAACGGUAAAGUGAAAAAUCUAUCUGUCCAGGCGGUGACUCGUGCAGAACUCGCCACAGGAUGCCGCAAUCGCAAUUCCGAUUGUGAAAAGUCAGAGGGCCACGCCCCUCUGGGGAGUUGAAUGACCAAUUCCAGCAUGACGAAAUGCACACCUGCAGUUCACGCACCCACCCCGGGCCAAAGAGGAUUAAAAAGAAGCAGUGGAUGAGCUCACCUAAAGCCCAUUGUCUGACGCGGUUGCAGACAAUUGAGGAGAAACAUUUGGAAAAGAUCAGGUAUCCCCUCCCGCCCUUUUCUGCAUUGUGACUGCCAAGCCUUGUACAGAUCAGAUCUCGGGGGAACUGCUCUGGGCUGGGUCAGCAUUUGUAAUAGUGUUCUCCUGCUUAACAGUUCAGACAAAGCAAAUCAAAGAUGCAAAUUGAGUUGGCCUCAGUUUGGACACUUGUUUGAUCUUCAGAGACUGCAAAUGUCUGAAAUAAAAGCUUCUGACAAUAAAAGAAUCACACUUGCAAGCAUGAACCUGCAAGUGAUAAUCUUGAAAUAAUGGGGUAAGGAGAUCUUUUUUGUUGGAAAUAUAAUUCUCAGCUACGACAAAGCUGGAAAAUUAUGCUUUUUGUUUUCCAAUGGAGUAAACCGUGGGACAACAGCUCACUCUGCCUUAUAUUUAUUGGACAGGCGGUCUCCCAGCAGUGUUCCCACAGGAAAAUAAAAAAAACAGGCCAUCAUUUGGUGGUUCCUGUUUUGUAGUAAAUAACAGAAAGUCUUGAAUAAUAUAGGUGUUUUGACUCGUGCCGCCCAUUUUAGUAGUUGGUAGCGAAUUGAUUCAAGGAUCUCAUCCAGCCAUUUCUCGUAAGAAGACAAGGUAUCAGCUUCAACAACAAGGUU